rnacentral:lncRNA from 1 species
AAAAAAAAAUAUUAUGAAACUAUACUUUAAAAAAGUCUUACAAACGUGCCAAAAAAUAACCUAUGAUGCUCGGACUCUUUUAGAAGGAUCCGACAUGGACACAUAUCAAAGUGUCCGAUUCUUUGAGUUCUAAAAUCAAAGACUCGUGGACACGUUUUAUAAGGAUCGGACACUUGGAUUUGGACACGACAAAUAUUUUUUUUCAGAUAAUAUGAUACUUUUUAUAAAUAAAUAUCUAUUAUUAUAUAUAAAAUACUAUAUAGACUUUUGAAUAACAAGGGUAAACUAAUAUUUAAUAUAUAUAUAAAUUUAUAAUAGGGACAAUGUCAAAAGUUUAAGGAUUAAAUUAUACUGUAAAACAAAUAAUUAGAGAUAGGUUAUUAUAUCUCGUCCAAGAUGAAGUGUCCAUUUUCCAGAUGGUAUUAGGAUCCGGAUCCAAGUGUCGGUGUCGGUGUCGUGUCCUGUAGACACGGGUACGGCAGGGGUUUUGGAAGAGUCCAAGCAACACAGAAAAUAACGUAUGCAACUCAAUGGGACAAAGGGAGUUUUAAUUUACUAAUCUCACUCUACACUUACUUCACUGUUUGUACAUCUUUUUGUCAAAUAAUUACAAAGUGUUUACUGUCUUAGUUCACUAGUUUCUUCUCUUUGUGUUUAGUGUUUAUAGUUUUGUAUUUUAUUCUUGUUCUGAAAAAGAUUGUUGCUUAGGCUCUUCUUGCUUCAAUUCAAUAUGUAAAUAGUAAUGUAGUGGGAAGAUGUUGUUAGGGAUUUGGAAUGAUAUAGGAGAGGUAUGUGAAGUAGUAUGAUUGAGGGGAUAAACACCGAUUUCCGUCUUUUUUAAAUAUGUGCAAACUUCUUAAAACUUUCUCUUUUCUCAUUAGUGACUCGGUCAAAGUCACAAGAGUUUGACAAGUUAAAUUUUGAAUCUUAAAAUGCGUGUGAAGGUUCAUGCUGCAUGUUCUAUUGAUGAAAACUAAUUUUUGAAGUCUGUUUACAUACAUGAUACAUGUAUCUAAUCAAUUAACUAGAAAUACUAGUCAUAUAUAGGUAGAAGUUGAUAGCAUGUAAUGAAAUAAUGGAUGGAACUAACAGUGCUAGCCAGUACAUUAGCAACUAAUAGUUGUGCACUAUGUAAACAGUAGGUGAGCCAGUACCUCUAAAACUAAUAAUAGCGCACCAUUUUAAUGGAGUAGUUUCAGGAACUCCUGGGCCUGACAAUGUAAUUUUGUACUUUUGGUGUUUUUGAAGAUAAGCACAACAGAUAAGAAAAGAAACAGCAGAGAAUUAGCAGAAAUAGAGGUAGAUCCACAAGAAAGUAGAGAGAAUCAAUGAGAAGGCAGAGCUUAGAGAGAUAGAAUGGGGUUAAGAACCCUAGAGAGAGAAAGACAAUCAGUUGUAAAGAGAGAAAGAGAAUUGCUGGAAAUCAUUCCGUUUCAUAUAUUCAACAUAAUUUGAAAGUACAUAACUUAACAACUAUUUAUAGACCAUGAACUCUGUAACUCAGUCCAGAAUAGACUAGUAAAUGAUUCUAUUGCUUUUUACUAAUUCUGUUUCCUCAUACUACUAUAGACUACUACUAAACUGAUUCCUAAUAAAUAGCAUUAACCAUCUAAAGAAACUGAAUUAAGCACAUGACAAUUGUGCUAAUUUAAUAAAUUUAGCCUGCUAACUGAAUUAAAAUUUGAGUUCAAAGAUAAUUUCAUAAAUAGUUCUCUGCCUUUUUUGGCGCAAAAUUGGUGUGUUCAAUUCAUCUUUCUAUCUGGUUAUUCUUUGAUUAAAUCUUUGAACUGCAGUCUUGUGUCAUUUAGCUGGUCUGCAGUCUAGUGUUUCUAGCUGCAUUUUAGAGUGUUUAGUCUCAUUGAUAUACAUGAGAGCUUUUUUUGCUGGGAGUGGAUGAUCAUUAAGGUAGUUGCUCAGUUUGAGUGACUAUUGCAGGGAAAAAAAGAUUCCAGGAAAUCUUUAUAAUCUCCACAAAAUGUAGUUUAGGGCUCUAUAAGUUUAUGUUUGAAGAGAAAACAGUACAGAAUGAAAGAGGCAGACAAUAAUUAAAAAAGGGAAGUCAAUGUCAUGUUUCUCUACUGGCAAAAUUGAAUAAAACCAUAUAAUGUCCAUUUUAUUAAAACUAAAAAGUUGAUAUUUCAUGUUUUCUGGACUGUGGAUAUAUAUAUCUUUGUUUUUUCAGCUGUGAGUACACUCUAAAGGCAAUAUCUUAGUUCUCCUAGAUUUUAAAAAUAGUUCUUGCAAGCAUAAGAAUGUACAAAUCACAAAUUAGAUGCAGUCUCAAACAAAAAAGUUGAACCAUAAAGAAGGAAAGACUCAAAUUAAAAGUAUAUGCAAGUUUUAAUUCUUAACUUAAUGAAGCCAAACUAGCGGGAUAUAGCAGACUGUCAACAAAAGGGAUUUCAAGUGGAUGAUCGAAUUUUUGAGUCACAAAGAGUUCAAAUCAAGGAUCUCUGUCCCAGUCACGCGUAAAUAGUAGAAAACAGUCGUGAAUUUAUAGGAAUAUAUCAAAAUAAGAG